rnacentral:rRNA from 1 species
ACGGCGUAGUAAUGCAUCGGAACGUACCCUCUGGUCGGGGAUAGCUACGGGAAACUGUAGGUAAUACCCGAUGAUCUCUGCGGAGCAAAGGUGAGAUUCCGCCGGAGGAGCGGCUGAUGUGAUAUUAGCUAGUUGGUGGGGUAAUGGCCCACCAAGGCGAUGAUGUCUAGGGGGUGUGAGAGCAUGGCCCCCACGACCGGAACUGAGAUACUGUCCGGACACCUACGGGUGGCUGCAGUCGAGAAUCUUCCGCAAUGGACGAAAGUCUGACGGAGCGACGCCGCGUGCGGGAUGAAGGCCCUUGGGUUGUAAACCGCUGUCAGAGGGGAUGAAAUCUUCGGAGGUACUCCUCCGAAGUUGACAGAGCCUCAAAGGAAGCACGGGCUAAGUACGUGCCAGCAGCCGCGGUAACACGUACUGUGCGAACGUUAUUCGGAAUCACUGGGCUUAAAGGGUGCGUAGGCGGCGAAUCAAGUCAGGUGUGAAAGGCCUGAGCUCAACUGAGGCAUUGCGCUUGAAACUGAUUUGCUUGAGUAUCCCAGGGGUGUGCGGAACUGCCAGUGGAGCGGUGAAAUGUGUUGA